GACGAACGCUGGCGGCGUGCUUAACACAUGCAAGUCGAGCGGUAAGGCCCUUUCGGGGGUACACGAGCGGCGAACGGGUGAGUAACACGUGGGUGACCUGCCCUUAGCUCUGGGAUAAGCCUGGGAAACUGGGUCUAAUACCGGAUAUGACUCCAUGACGCAUGUUGUGGGGUGGAAAGCCUUGUGCGGCUAGGGAUGGGCCCGCGGCCUAUCAGCUUGUUGGUGGGGUGAUGGCCUACCAAGGCGACGACGGGUAGCCGGCCUGAGAGGGCGAUCGGCCACACUGGGACUGAGACACGGCCCAGACUCCUACGGGAGGCAGCAGUGGGGAAUCUUGCGCAAUGGGCGAAAGCCUGACGCAGCGACGCCGCGUGAGGGAUGACGGCCU
rnacentral:rRNA from 1 species